rnacentral:rRNA from 1 species
UACGGAGGGUGCGAGCGUUGUCCGGAAUCACUGGGCGUAAAGGGCGCGUAGGCGGCUUGGGAAGUCCGUGGUGAAAGCCCGAGGCUCAACUUCGGGUCGGCCAUGGAUACUCCUAAGCUCGAGUCGACUAGAGGCUAAUGGAAUUCCGGGUGUAGCGGUGAAAUGCGUAGAUAUCUGGAGGAACACCGGUGGCGAAGGCGGCAUCCUGGACCGGCAUUGACGCUGAGGCGCGAAAGCUAGGGGAGCAAACGGGG